GCCGAGGUCCUCUUCUAGGAUUGGUUGUCCACUCAUAACCAUAAGAUAAUUAAAACGGGGGGGGGCAGGGUAAAAAAAAAACCCUUUUAUCAGCCAUAGGUUAAUGCAAGUGUUUAACAGAUGCUUCGCUAUUAAAAUAUUUCCCCCCAAUACUGAAGAAUCUUAAACCAGCAACCCUAACAGAGAUUGCGAAGAUUUUCAAAGUGGGGCACCUCGAUUUCUCGAAUCUGUGGUGUGGCGAAUAUCCGUGUUCCUCCUGCUUAACUAGCCUGUUUGAGUCUGUCUGGCUGUUAUUCUGUCUGGAAGGCCACAUCAGAAGGAAUCGGAGAGCCCAUCUUCUUGCUCCCAGGGUACCCGAGCUGAGACCUAACUGCCCUGUGCAUCUUUUGACACAUUUUACUUCCGUAAUUUCGGACUGCCAGAAGGCACAGUUCAUUCUCGAGCAAUUCGUCACCUCCUGGGGGUCUUCUCUUCCCGUCUACAGGAGAGUGUGACUUCAGAAAGAACUUCGGAUUGGCCAAGGCCAUUAAAGCUGGUGAGCGACUUGGAAGUCAUUUAGAAAGGAACAGACCUUCAACCUCAAGCCUUUGCGGGCACUGGGAAAGUGUCUUCCCAAUCAAUCUGGCUUGCAGGCGGCAGGACCAACUCUGACCUGGCUUAUCUUGUACCCAUCCUAAAUACACCAAACUCAAGAGGUAGCCAGGGCCGCCUCAACACCGAGGCAGGUCUGAUUCUAUUUAUUCUAAAGACAGAGUUGGAGAUGGGCUACCAUUGGUGUUGAUUGAGAUGACAAGCAGUCACCUGAGCCCAUACAGCUGGGUUCACAGAUGUGGCUAGUCUUGCUAGCCAGCUCGCACUGUGGACAUUCUAGGGAACUGACUGCAGUCCUCAUGCUUGGAGUCAAACACUUUAACCACUGCACACGUUUAUGUAAUAGGAUUGACAUAUGAGAAUCAGAGAAAUGAAUGAAAGAUUAGAGUGGGAGAAAGUGCUUGCUGCCAAGCUUGAUGACCUAAAUUGAAUACCUGGAACCUACACGACAGAAAGAGAGAGCUGACUGCUGAAAGAUGUCCUCAGAUCUUCACAUGUGCACAGUGGCACCUAUCCAACCAUGCACAUAGUAUAUUAAAAAUUAUUUUUUAAAAAA
rnacentral:lncRNA from 1 species